rnacentral:rRNA from 1 species
UACAGAGGGGGCAAGCGUUGUUCGGAAUUACUGGGCGUAAAGGGCGCGUAGGCGGCCUUCUAAGUCGAACGUGAAAUCCCCGGGCUCAACCCGGGAACUGCGUCCGAUACUGGCAGGCUUGAAUCCGGGAGAGGGAUGCGGAAUUCCAGGUGUAGCGGUGAAAUGCGUAGAUAUCUGGAGGAACACCGGUGGCGAAGGCGGCAUUCUGGACCAUAACUGACACUGAGAGACGAAAGCCAGGGGAGCAAACGGG